rnacentral:misc_RNA from 1 species
UCUCUGCUUUAGGGAUUGCAGCGGUAGCUUUUGGCGAGGCGCAUCGCGCCAAAACUAUUAGCGGAAAGCCUGACCCCCG